GAAGGAUCCCCGUCAUUGUAACUGCAACACGUGUGGUGAAAUCUUCUGCCGUCACCGUCUGUGAAAUGUGGAGCUGCUGUGACCCCCACAGGAGAAAGGUGAGCGCUGACACCUGCGGAACCAAGAGGAGCCUCAGAGGGAAGCAGAACAAAGAUGGAGACUCACAAUCACAGAGUCGGAGAGAGAUUCACAUCGUAUUAGUGUCAAAAAUGGACAAAAGUUAGAGGCUGAACAUUUCACUUUCAGACAUUUGAACCUGGAACAUUUUCAGAGCCGCAGAAAGAUUAAGGGUUUCUCAGAACAAAAGCGAUGUAGAACAGAGGAGAAUUCAGCUGUAAUCUUCAGAAAGAGCUCCGUGUUCUCGUAUUUCUGUGAUUUCUUCAUCUGUCCUUCCCUUCUUCCUCUUCAUCUUUUUACCCAGAGCUCAUUCUUUUGUCGCUUCAUUGUUGUCUGUGUCUUAAAUAAAGGCUUUCACUUCUUUUCUCUGCUCUCUGAUUCAUGAUGACCACUAUAGUAAAUCGAUUUUUUUUUGUAAUUUAUUUGGGUUUCUUCUCAAUUGAACUCACUUUUCUCUCAUUUCGGUUUGAUUCCUGUGAUUAUAUGUUUGUCUUAAG
rnacentral:lncRNA from 1 species